GGCGGCGUGCUUAACACAUGCAAGUCGAACGGAAAGGCCCUUCGGGGUACUCGAGUGGCGAACGGGUGAGUAACACGUGGGCAAUCUGCCCUGCACACCGGGAUAAGCCUGGGAAACUGGGUCUAAUACCGGAUAGGACCACUUGGCGCAUGCCUUGUGGUGGAAAGCUUUUGCGGUGUGGGAUGGGCCCGCGGCCUAUCAGCUUGUUGGUGGGGUGACGGCCUACCAAGGCGACGACGGGUAGCCGGCCUGAGAGGGUGUCCGGCCACACUGGGACUGAGAUACGGCCCAGACUCCUACGGGAGGCAGCAGUGGGGAAUAUUGCACAAUGGGCGCAAGCCUGAUGCAGCGACGCCGCGUGGGGGAUGACGGCCUUCGGGUUGUAAACCUCUUUCACCAUCGACGAAGGUCCGGGUUUUCUCGGAUUGACGGUAGGUGGAGAAGAAGCAC
rnacentral:rRNA from 1 species